GGUAUCUGUCUGUGGCCUGGGCGACUUUUACGAUCUAACUUCAAGAUAAAACGCUCAUCCGUUUGACAUGUAAAUGUCAUAGCUACUUUUUGUAUAGUUUGGGCAAAGGGAAAAGCUAAAUUGCAAAAGGCAAGUGGCCAUUGGUACACUGCGGGGACUUCUGCUCGGCUCUCAAAACUUAGAGGUAGAGAAGAGUUUGGCACGAAUGGUAGCUUCUUCCUCGUUGAAGAACCACGGAAUCCGGAGAGACAACUGGAUUGCAAUGGACUUAGAGAGCCAACUUUUCUGAAAACAUCUGUGGAAGUCACUUAUUUAGUGAGAAGGAGUGAACAAUUUUUCACCCGUCUGGAUAUGGAGUUGUUGUUGUUGUUUUUUUUUAUGAAUUUGUUGUUGUCAAGUAUGCUAUAACGUUCUGUAAAUUCACCCGAGUGUGGAGCAUAUGUGAGUAUGUCAGAUGUGGAUUAAUGAACAUUAAUACACGCGUGUCUAAUUUUUCUUGUCUGUUUAUAUCAUGCUCAGCCUAUGUGGAAAAA